rnacentral:misc_RNA from 1 species
GAUGAAGAACGUAGCGAAAUGCGAUACUUGGUGUGAAUUGCAGAAUCCCGUGAACCAUCGAGUCUUUGAACGCAAGUUGCGCCCGAAGCCAUUAGGCCGAGGGCACGCCUGCCUGGGCGUCACACGUCGUUGCCCCCCCAUCUACUCCUUCGGGAUUGCGGGGGGCGGAUGAUGGCCUCUCGUGCGCCUCGUCGCGCGGUUGGCCUAAAUGCCAAGUCCUCGGCGACGCACGCCACGACAAUCGGUGGUUGCGAAACCUCGGUUGCCUGUCGUGUGCGGUCGUCGCGCAUCGAGGGCUCGAAAAAAUUGCCGGGCUUCGGCUCGACUUUCAACGAGACCCCAGGUCAGGCGGGGUUACCCGCUGAAUUUAAGCAUAUCAAUAAGCGGAGGA